rnacentral:rRNA from 1 species
CGUCCACCUCCUCCAAGACCUAGCCGCCUCCUCGACUACCCUCCUCCGCCGCCGCCACCACCGCCGCCCACCCUUCGCGGCUGCCGAGCGCCCUCCACCACAUCCCUGUGCCAGAUCCAUCCCAGACCAUGCCGCCGACCACCGUCCACCACACCCCAGCGCCAACUCCCUCACCGACCACGACGCCGAGCACCCUCCGCUGCCCUGACCACGAUUCGCCACACACCAGCAACCCCAAGCAGCCAAGCCUCCUCCAUGUGUUCUCCCCUGGAAUCACCCCCACCAGCUCUGCCGCUUCCAAAAGCUCCUCCCUCGAGCAGCGCCGCCGCUUCCAGGAGCUCCUGCCCGACCAACGUUGAUGUUCCAGAAGCUCCUUACCCAAGCAGCGCCUCCUUCUCUAGGAGCCUCAGCGCUACCUCGUCGUCCUCUCCCCCAAGCAGAUGCCUGUCCUGCAUUCUUUUCCCUGAGUAGGUCUCGGCUACCUCCGCAGCCCAACCAAUGAGAUUUCUCCGUGUCUUGUGAGUUUGAUUAGUCUCAUCUCUGUGAUUUGUGAGGUAUGGUUUGUGCACAGAACAACUGCUAUAGUUUUGAAAAUUUCUUGAAUUGUUACUUUGUUAGAUAGAAACUACUCCAAAAUAGAGUUUAAAGAAAUGAGAUUCAGACAUUAGACUCCAAAUGAAGUGAUGGUUUAAUUGAAUGAUUAGGUAGAAAAUACUCAUUGGAGCAACAGUACCAGCUGAUAUGGUCGUGUUCUGAAAGUAGACCAUAACCAUACGUGUAGGCUUUUCAUAAUCCAAUAUUUUACCUGCAGCUGAGGAUUUAUGUGGAAUACAGAUUACUCUAUACUUUUAUGACCAACUCGUUAUUGUUACUCACAGCCUUUUCAGUUCAGGCUAGAACAAGAAAGCCAAAGUGUCAUGUUUUGCCCCUAAAUUUCAUUUUGCAUAGUCAAUAAAUUAGAAAUGGCUAGUACGGUAAUACCUUUAAUAACAGGAAUGUGAAUUUUGUAAGCUAGCUAGGCCAUACAUGCACUUCCAUCUCUGUCAUACAAGUUGGGCAAACUUUGUGUUUGGAUAUGUACUGCACUAAUUGAUACAGGUAAUUAUAUUCUUGAUGCUACACGAGGUUUGUCUCCUUUUAUCGCCUGCUAAUUGAUGAUUGGUGAUUAUAGUAGGGCAUGGAUGCUGAUUUAUUUAUUUUUUGCUAAGAGUUUGUAUCAUGUGCCUUUCUGUUCUCAUAGUGAAAUGACAAUGGUGCCAAUAUGGUAUAAGAAUUAUGAUGCUUUAAAUGCUGAUAGGGUCAUUUACGUCCUCUGAUUCGUUGCCCGAGCAGAUCUACAGCAUCCUCUACUUCUUAACUGAUGGUGACAUUUCUUUGCUAUUCCUACAAUAUAGAUAAAUGAUAUUCUACUAUUAGUUUUCCAUUUCCUGAAACGACACCUUUCAGUUCACUAUUCUGCUGUGCUAGAUUGCAUUCCUUGUCGGUAUUGUAUUUCUUGUUGCUUGUAGCAGAUACGACUGGUAUGCAUUUUGUUAUUAUUUUUUUCUUUAAUAGAAGGCAAGCUGGGGACUGGUCCAUUUGCAAAAGCAGCAAUGCAACCACAAGCAAGCUGAGGAGGUGCCUCAAAGAUACACAAGUUGAUCUACAGGCUGCCCUGAAGAUUUGGGAGACCUACGACUAAGUUGGUGGAGUGAAAUUGUAAUAAGCCUUAUUUGUUUAACCUGGAGAUAUUGGCACGUUUUACGCUCAUUUUGUUUUUUGUUUUGGCACAUAAGUCACAAGUUUUACUCUCAUUUUGAUUGUGUUGCACAUCCAGAAACAUAUGUUCUUUUCCUUUUUGUUGCACGUCCUUGUAUAUUGUUGUCUCAUGAAUGUAUCAAAGGAAAAUACAUAUUUU